rnacentral:rRNA from 1 species
UACAGAGGUCCCGAGCGUUGUUCGGAUUCACUGGGCGUAAAGCGCACGUAGGCGGAUGUGUCAGUCAGGGGUGAAAUCCCGGAGCUCAACUUCGGAACUGCCCUUGAUACAGCACGUCUUGAGUCCGGAAGAGGUGGGUGGAAUUCCUAGUGUAGAGGUGAAAUUCGUAGAUAUUAGGAAGAACACCGGUGGCGAAGGCGGCCCACUGGUCCGGUACUGACGCUGAGGUGCGAAAGCGUGGGGAGCAAACAGG